AGUUUUAUUUCUCUUCAGAUUGUAUAGGUCUUUUGCGUUUUACUAAAAAUUUCUGUGCAGAGGAACAAUGACAGUCUAAAUUAAUUUAACGAUGCCUUCCAUUAGUGGGGUU